GGGGAAAGGAGGGGAUCCCCCGACCCCACGAAAAAAGAGCGGCCGACACCCGACCAGCGAGGGGGGGGGGGAACGGCCCACCAAGGCGACGAUCAGUAGCUGGUCUGAGAGGACGACCAGCCACACAGGAACAGAGACACGGUCCAGACUCCUACGGGAGGCAGCAGUGGGGAAUUUUGGACAAUGGGCGCAAGCCUGAUCCAGCCAUUCCGCGUGAGUGAAGAAGGCCUUCGGGUUGUAAAGCUCUUUCGCAAGGGAAGAAAACUUACUUUCUAAUAAAGAGUGAGGCUGACGGUACCUUGAUAAGAAGCACCGGCUAACUACGUGCCAGCAGCCGCGGUAAUACGUAGGGUGCGAGCGUUAAUCGGAAUUACUGGGCGUAAAGCGUGCGCAGGCGGUUUGGCAAGUCAGAUGUGAAAUCCCCGAGCUCAACUUGGGAACUGCGUUUGAAACUGCCAGACCAGAAUAUGUCAGAGGGGGGUAGAAUUCCACGUGUAGCAGUGAAAUGCGUAGAGAUGUGGAGGAAUACCAAUGGCGAAGGCAGCCCCCUGGGAUAAUAUUGACGCUCAUGCACGAAAGCGUGGGGAGCCCACAGGGAUUAGAUACCCUGGUAGUCCCCGCCCUAAACGAUGUUUACUAGUUGUUGGUGGAGUAAAAUCCAUGAGUAACGCAGCUAACGCGUGAAAGUAGACCGCCUGGGGAGUACGGUCGCAAGAUUAAAAUUCAAAGGAAUUGACGGGGGCCCGCACAAGCGGUGGAUUAUGUGGAUUAAUUCGAUGCAACGCGAAAAACCUUACCUGGCCUUGACAUGCCACUAACGAAGCAGAGAUGCAUUAGGUGCCCGAAAGGGAAAGUGGACACAGGUGCUGCAUGGCUGUCGUCAGCUCGUGUCGUGAGAUGUUGGGUUAAGUCCCGCAACGAGCGCAACCCUUGCCAUUAAUUGCCAUCAUUUAGUUGGGCACUUUAAUGGGACUGCCGGUGACAAACCGGAGGAAGGUGGGGAUGACGUCAAGUCCUCAUGGCCCUUAUGGCCAGGGCUUCACACGUAAUACAAUGGUCGGUACAGAGAGUUGCCAAGCCGCGAGGUGGAGCUAAUCUCAGAAAGCCGAUCGUAGUCCGGAUUGUUCUCUGCAACUCGAGAGCAUGAAGUCGGAAUCGCUAGUAAUCGCGGAUCAGCAUGUCGCGGUGAAUACGUUCCCGGGCCUUGCACUCACCGCCCGUCA
rnacentral:rRNA from 1 species